rnacentral:lncRNA from 11 species
AGGACCUUACUUCUAGUAUUUGCCACAUUGGCUAGGCUGGCUAAGGGUGCUGGCGUUUGUAGUCCAAUAAUAUCUGGAGGACAGCAUAAUUCAUAUCCCAGUAAGGGGUAUUACACAUUGAAAUUUGUAUGCAAUUGCUGGAUGUAAAUCUUUAAUCGCAUAUAUAUGGUGCAUUUCAAGUUUUUUUCAGUAAUACUUAGAACAGCCCAUUAAAGAAGACCAACAUUGUUUCUCAUCUGGCAGAUACAACAGCACAUAUGUUGUGGCUUACCUAAAACCACCCAGCAAGUCUUGAAAUGGGCUCUUCUGGCUCAUGAUGGAGUGCCACGGCUUCUCUGCUUUCCUUUAAAGUCUGCCUCUGCUUAUUGCAGUGCGCGACAAGUCCUCCAAACCACUUAAUGCAGCCUGCUGAUUUGGUUUGAUUAAAACGGUGUCUCUAGGUGUGUGCUCUAAAUACCUUUUUGAUACGUCACCUACAAAACCAACUGUGGGAUUGCUAGUCAGAGUGACAGCUGCAGGCAAUAAAUGAGGAUGGUAAUAGAAGGCUCAGUGCUGUAUAGGAUGUGAUAAAUCAUGUGGAGAGAGUGGUAUGUGUGCUGACAAAUCGGAGCCCAGCUGCAAACAGCACUUUCCAGAUGGUGUCCCUCAAAGAGGAGCUCUAGGUGUACCUCCUGAAGCAGCUUCCCCUUUUGAUUUGGCUCAGCAUUAAGAUUACGGUAUGAUGCAAAUCUAAUAACGCAC